CCCUUCGAUGUUCUGGGCCGCACGCGCGCUACACUGAUGCGUUCAGCAAGCUCUCUAACCUUCACCGAUAGGUGUGGGUAAUCUUCUGAAAGCGCAUCGUGUUUGGGCUAGAUGAUUGCAAUUAUUCAUCUUCAACGAGGAAUACCUAGUAAACGCAAGUCAUCAGCUUGCAUUGAUUACGUCCCUGCCCUUUGUACACACCGCCCGUCGCACCUACCGAUUGAAUGAUUCGGUGAAGCUUUCGGACUACGACUUUGUUGGUUUAUUCUGACGCUGUUGUGGGAAGUUAUCUAAACCUCAUCAUUUAGAGGAAGGUGAAGUCGUAACA
rnacentral:rRNA from 1 species